UAGCCUUGACAUUGAUUGAAUUCACCAGAGAUGGAGAAGUGCCCUUCGGGGAACAUGAAAACAGGUGCUGCACGGCUGUCGUCAGCUCGUGUCGUGAGAUGUUGGGUUAAGUCCCGCAACGAGCGCAACCCUCGUCAAUAGUUGCCAGCAGGUUAAGCUGGGCACUCUAUUGAGACUGCCUUCGCAAGGAGGAGGAAGGUGAGGACGACGUCAAGUCAUCAUGGCCCUUAUGGCUAGGGCUACACACGUGCUACAAUGGGGCGUACAGAGAGUUGCGAUACCGCGAGGUGGAGCCAAUCUCAUAAAGCGUCUCUCAGUUCGGAUUGGAGUCUGCAACUCGACUCCAUGAAGCUGGAAUCACUAGUAAUCGUAGAUCAGCAAUGCUACGGUGAAUACGUUCCCGGGUCU
rnacentral:rRNA from 1 species